rnacentral:rRNA from 1 species
UCAAGAGUACGUGAAACCGUUCAGGGGUAAACCUAAGAAACCCAAAAGAUCGAAAGGGGAGAUUCAUCGUCAGCGACGCUGGCUUCGCGUCGGUGGGCGAUGUCCCGCGGAGUCCUCGCGGCUCGCGCGCGGGCACGCUACCGUGCGUCGAUGUCCGGCUGUCGUCGUCGUGCACUUCUCCCCAAGUAGAACGUCGCGACCCGCUGGGUGUCGGUCUACGGCCCGGGUGCGGUGACUGCCGCGUCGCCGGUAAAACGGCACGCGACAAACCCUCGGACGCCCGGCCGGCUGCUCGGCGGUACGCGCAUGGUAUCAGGCCGCACUCUUUAACGAGAUGCGUCGAGGCCGUCGCAAGCGCGCGCCACGGUACUCGGAGGUUACGGACUCAGCGCCGUCCCCGGUCCUGGCCCGCUGUUGGUUAACGCAAAAGUACGGAUAACCUUCGACAGGCCUGCGAACGUCUCCCUCUUCGGGGGGUGACGGAUACCGGUCGGCGACGCUACUGCUUUGGGUACUCUUAGGACCCGUCUUGAAACACGGACCAAGGAGUCUAACAUGUACGCGAGUCAUUGGGACUCCUCGCGAGACCUAAAGGCGUAAUGAAAGUGAAGGUCGGCCCUGGCCGUCGACCGAGGGAGGAUGGGCCGCGUCGCGAUGCGGCCUCGCACUCCCGGGGCGUCUCGUUCUCAUAGCGAGAAGAGGCGCACCCAGAGCGUACACGUUGGGACCCGAAAGAUGGUGAACUAUGCCUGGUCAGGACGAAGUCAGGGGAAACCCUGAUGAAGGUCCGUAGCGAUUCUGACGUGCAAAUCGAUCGUCGGAACUGGGUAUAGGGGCGAAAGACUAAUCGAACCAUCUAGUAGCUGGUUCCCUCCGAAGUUUCCCUCAGGAUAGCUGGCACUCGGCCGUUCCGCACGGAACGCGCGCGAGUCUCAUCUGGUAAAGCGAAUGAUUAGAGGCCUUGGGGCCGAAACGACCUCAACCUAUUCUCAAACUUUAAAUGGGUGAGAUCUCUGGCUUUCUUGAAUUAUGAAGCCACGAGCAUCUCGGAUCAGAGUGCCAAGUGGGCCAUUUUUGGUAAGCAGAACUGGCGCUGUGGGAUGAACCAAACGCAGAGUUAAGGCGCCCAACUCGACGCUCAUGGGACACCAUGAAAGGCGUUGGUUGCUUAAGACAGCAGGACGGUGGCCAUGGAAGUCGGAAUCCGC